AGAAGAGGCAGCCACCACACCGGCCGCUCAUCUCCGCAGCACCGUGCAGAUCCACCCUACGCCGCUGCUCGCCCCAGCGUCGCCGUCGAUCGGGCCGGCCCCAAGUUGUAAUCUCCCCGAUACUCCAACAGUGUGAACCCAAUUCAAGAUCUGGAAACGAUACAAUCAGCAACCUUAUCCACAUCUAGGACAUCAAGCCGAUCGAAGAGGCAGAGAAGGGUGGGCAUCGGAAGCGCGGGAGAAGUCGAGGAGACGGGGGAGAGGGCGAGGUGGACGGGUGCGUUACCUUCUCCACGGUGACGAUGUAGCGGACGUGCUGGUCCGCAGCGAGCUCCGCCAUGGCCGCCUCGCUCCGCUCCCGCUCCUGCCUUGCCUUCGGAGUCUGAACUGAACCCCUCCG
rnacentral:lncRNA from 1 species